GACGAACGCUGGCGGCGUGCUUAACACAUGCAAGUCGAACGGAAAGGCCCUGCUUUUGUGGGGUGCUCGAGUGGCGAACGGGUGAGUAACACGUGAGUAACCUGCCCUUGACUUUGGGAUAACUUCAGGAAACUGGGGCUAAUACCGGAUAGGAGCUCCUGCUGCAUGGUGGGGGUUGGAAAGUUUCGGCGGUUGGGGAUGGACUCGCGGCUUAUCAGCUUGUUGGUGGGGUAGUGGCUUACCAAGGCUUUGACGGGUAGCCGGCCUGAGAGGGGGGCCGGCCACAUUGGGACUGAGAGACGGCCCAGACUCCUACGGGAGGCAGCAGGGGGGAAUAUUGCACAACGGGCGGAAGCCUGAUGCAGCAACGCCGCGUGCGGGAUGACGGCCUUCGGGUUGUAAACCGCUUUCGCCUGUGACGAAGCGUGAGUGACGGUAAUGGGUAAAGAAGCACCGGCUAACUACGUG
rnacentral:rRNA from 1 species